CCUACGGGCGGCAGCAGUGGGGAAUAUUGGACAAUGGGGGCAACCCUGAUCCAGCCAUGCCGCGUGUGUGAAGAAGGCCCUCGGGUUGUAAAGCACUUUCAGUGAGGAAGAACGCCUGGUGGUUAAUACCCAUCAGGAAAGACAUCACUCACAGAAGAAGCACCGGCUAACUCCGUGCCAGCAGCCGCGGUAAUACGGAGGGUGCGAGCGUUAAUCGGAAUUACUGGGCGUAAAGCGCGCGUAGGUGGCUUGAUAAGCCGGUUGUGAAAGCCCCGGGCUCAACCUGGGAACGGCAUCCGGAACUGUCCAGCUAGAGUGCAGGAGAGGAAGGUAGAAUUCCCGGUGUAGCGGUGAAAUGCGUAGAGAUCGGGAGGAAUAACAGUGGCGAAGGCGGCCUUCUGGACUGACACUGACACUGAGGUGCGAAAGCGUGGGUAGCAAACAGGAUUAGAUACCCCUGUAGUC
rnacentral:rRNA from 1 species